rnacentral:rRNA from 1 species
GACGAACGCUGGCGGCGUGCUUAACACAUGCAAGUCGAACGAUGAAGCCUUUCGGGGUGGAUUAGUGGCGAACGGGUGAGUAACACGUGGGUAAUCUGCCCUGCACUCUGGGAUAAGCCCGGGAAACUGGGUCUAAUACCGGAUAUGACUUUCUUACGCAUGUAGGAAGGUGGAAAGUUCCGGCGGUGCAGGAUGAACCCGCGGCCUAUCAGCUUGUUGGUGGGGUAAGUGGCCUACCAAGGCGACGACGGGUA